AUUGAACGCUGGCGGCAGGCCUAACACAUGCAAGUCGAGCGGAUGAAGGGAGCUUGCUCCUGGAUUCAGCGGCGGACGGGUGGGUAAUGCCUAGGAAUCUGCCUGGUAGUGGGGGAUAACGUCCGGAAACGGGCGCUAAUACCGCAUACGUCCUGAGGGAGAAAGUGGGGGAUCUUCGGACCUCACGCUAUCAGAUGAGCCUAGGUCGGAUUAGCUAGUUGGUAGGGUAAAGGCCUACCAAGGCGACGAUCCGUAACUGGUCUGAGAGGAUGAUCAGUCACACUGGAACUGAGACACGGUCCAGACUCCUACGGGAGGCAGCAGUGGGGAAUAUUGGACAAUGGGCGAAAGCCUGAUCCAGCCAUGCCGCGUGUGUGAAGAAGGUCUUCGGAUUGUAAAGCACUUUAAGUUGGGAGGAAGGGCAGUAAGUUAAUACCUUGCUGUUUUGACGUUACCAACAGAAUAAGCACCGGCUAACUUCGUG
rnacentral:rRNA from 1 species